AACGAACGCUGGCGGCGUGCCUAACACAUGCAAGUCGAACGAGAAAGGGGCUUCGGCUCCGAGUAAAGUGGCGCACGGGUGAGUAACACGUGGGUAACCUGCCUCUAAGAUUGGGAUAACUCGUCGAAAGAUGAGCUAAUACCGAAUAAGACCACAGUUCCCGCGGGAACAGGGGUCAAAGGUAGCCUCUGCUUGCAAGCUAUCACUUAGAGAUGGGCCUGCGCACCAUUAGCUAGUUGGUAGGGUAACGGCCUACCAAGGCAAAGAUGGUUAGCUGGUCUGAGAGGAUGAUCAGCCACACUGGAACUGAGACACGGUCCAGACUCCUACGGGAGGCAGCAGUGGGGAAUAUUGCGCAAUGGGCGAAAGCUUGACGCAGCAACGCCGCGUGAGUGAUGAAGGCCGUCGGGUCGUAAAGCUCUGUCGGGAGGAACGAAUGCUCCUGAGGUUAACAGCCUCGGGAGGUGACGGUACCUGCAAAGGAAGCACCGGCUAACUCUGUG
rnacentral:rRNA from 1 species